rnacentral:lncRNA from 1 species
GCCUUUAGCUGAACAAAUUGACCCAAGGACUUAUUCUUUAUAUGAAUUCUAACAUCAACAUUAUCAAUGCUGUGUAAUGUCUCAGAGUUUUCCAAAACAAAUCAGGGCAAAGCUUCUCAUUAAGAGUAUUCAAGUGUUAUGAAAAAAGACAACUUACCUGACCAAGCAAGAAAGGUGUAGUAGGUUCUACAAUAUGCACAGCUUUUGAAUGAACUGCAA